GGAUCCGUAGCUCAGUUGGUUAGAGCGUCUCGUUUACACCGAGAAGGUCAGAGGUUCGAGUCCUCUCGGAUCCA
rnacentral:tRNA from 1 species